CUGGUAUUUAACUGGUCAGCGACCGGUGAAUUUAGAAGAAAGCAGGAAGAUGAAUGCAGGUGAAUGUGAGAGCUCACUAGCUUCUGUACAGAUCAGAUUUAACCAGAGCAUUACAAGAAACAGUGAGACAGAUGAACAGCCUUGGGUUGUGGUGUUUCUUCUGUGUCAAGCUUCUGUUCCAGAUCUCCUGUGCAGAGAAUUCUGAUGUAUCCAGAUGGAUCCAAGAUGACCAUAUCAUCCUGAUAUUUCUUGCUGUUAUAGCCUGCAUUCUCAGCCUUUUUGCCAUUGUGUUCCUCUUUUGGUACUGUUCAGGAUUCCAUUCAAAAGAUCCUGAAAGAGGGUGUGUGGUCUGGAACUGGGAUAGGAGAUGAAGAAGAUUAAGCAGCGCAGUCCCCCUUCCAGAUCUUGGAUGCAUCAUCUGUGAUCAUGGCAUCUGCACAGAGCUAGUGUGGGAGGUUUCAAGUCCUCAUUAAAAAAGCUACAGUGGGAUCCAGCUUGACCUAAUUUCACACUGAAAUGGCCGUGCCCCUCCCUGUAAUUAAUCCAGGGACAAAUCCAGUGGCUCUAACACCUAGUUUCACUGCAGACAUWGUGGUAUAUCCUUCCUGGUCUCCAGACCUAUUGUCUUCAGAAGAUAGUAGGUUAUGUGUCAUAUGUGCCAUCUUGGAGGAUGCCUCCAAUACCCUAGUACAUCUCAGUGGUGGUACACUCCACAGCUUGGGCAAGUGAAUCCUGCUCCAAUCAACACAGUCAGUGAAAACUUGAGAGUAAUUCUGCUCAUCUUAGAGGAGACAUUUGCAGCUGGUCACCCAAACAGUGCUUCACACUGUGCUGUCUGUGUUCAUUAGAUCACUUUCAACUGUACUAGGUGCUUAAAUAUCUUUUAUUUUUUUGUGCACCUACAUGUAGACAUCCUAGCUGAGAAUCACAAUUUACCUCAAGAUUACAGUGGUUAAAUUUUGGCAUACACGUACCAGUGUCUAUGUAUGGCUGAGGUGUCUAAACCCCUGUUAUCACCAAUGUUUGGGACUCAUUUGCACAGAUAAGAGUAUGUGAGUGCCAUUUCAGAUAUCCUAAGAUACCCUGCUUGCCUCCCAUGUAGCACCACGUGGCUACCUGGAGUCU
rnacentral:lncRNA from 1 species